UACGUAGGGGGCAAGCGUUGUCCGGAUUUAUUGGGCGUAAAGAGCGUGUAGGCGGCUGGGUAGGUCCGUUGUGAAAACUCGAGGCUCAACCUCGAGACGCCAUGGAAACCCUCCAGCUAGAGUCCGGAAGAGGAGAGUGGAAUUCCUGGUGUAGCGGUGAAAUGCGCAGAUAUCAGGAAGAACACCCGUGGCUAAGGCGGCUCUCUAGUACGGUACUGACGCUGAGACGCGAAAGCGUGGGGAGCGAACAGG
rnacentral:rRNA from 1 species